rnacentral:rRNA from 1 species
GACGAACGCUGGCGGCGUGCUUAACACAUGCAAGUCGAACGAAGAGCGAUGGAAGCUUGCUUCUAUCAAUCUUAGUGGCGAACGGGUGAGUAACGCGUAAUCAACCUGCCCUUCAGAGGGGGACAACAGUUGGAAACGACUGCUAAUACCGCAUACGAUCUAAUCUCGGCAUCGAGGAUAGAUGAAAGGUGGCCUCUACAUGUAAGCUAUCACUGAAGGAGGGGAUUGCGUCUGAUUAGCUAGUUGGAGGGGUAACGGCCCACCAAGGCGAUGAUCAGUAGCCGGUCUGAGAGGAUGAACGGCCACAUUGGGACUGAGACACGGCCCAGACUCCUACGGGAGGCAGCAGUGGGGAAUCUUCCGCAAUGGACGAAAGUCUGACGGAGCAGCGCCGCGUGAGUGAUGACGGCCUUCGGGUUGUAAAGCUCUGUUAAUCGGGACGAAAGGCCUUC